rnacentral:rRNA from 1 species
AACGAACGCUGGCGGCAUGCCUAACACAUGCAAGUCGAACGAGACCUUCGGGACUAGUGGCGCACGGGGGCGUAACGCGGGGGAACGUUCCCGUAGGUUCGGAAUAACACCCCGUAAGGGGUGCUAAUACCGGAUAAUGUCUGCUAACCAAAGAUACGUCGCCCUGGGAUGGGCCCGCGUUGGAUUAGCUUGGUGGUAGGGUAAGAGCCUACCAAGGCUACGAUCCUUAGCUGGUCUGAGAGGCAGGGCAGCCACACUGGGGCUGAGCCACGGCCGGGAAUCUUAGGGAAGGGAGGAGUGCGGAAUACAGGAAGAUGGGGGGAGGGCUGAUCCAGCAAGGCCGGGUAAGUGAUGAUGGGGGUAGAGAAGUGCAGCUCGUUUACACGGCGCGAUAAUGACGGUACCGGGAGAAUAAGCACCGGCUAACUCCGUG